UGGAACCGGGACAGCGCACGUCUGAUUUCCCCGCGCUGCACCACUCGCUCUGUCCCGCUGCACCCGGGAGUCUGCCCUUGACACAACUCCUCUGCCAGCCUAGAUCGGCCCCUGGCGCUGCUCCAACGGGGCUUAGUCUGCAGCCUUCCAGAGAACCACCCCCCCCCCCCCCCCGCAGCCCCCAUCCACACACCGACACGCACGUGCCCCAGAGUGCUUGUUUCCGCAGCCCACUUCGGCUAGCGGCCCUUCCCCCUCGAGAGCGGUCGCUGGCACGGGUCCAGCCCUUCCCGGUGUGCAGUCCCCAGCCGGCGCUGCAGCUUGGGUCAUAUGCGCAGGAAUGAUGAGAGAGGCACUGUUUAAUCUUUUCGCACUCGCCUCUCCCUUCACCCAGCGGCAGGAUGGCGAUGUCGGACCUGCUCAGCACGGAGGAGAUCAAGGCGGCUGUGGGAGCCUUUUCAGUUGCUGAAUCCUUCUGCUACAAGAAGUUCUUUGAAAUCCUGGGGCUGAAAAAGAAGAGCCAGGAAGAUGUAAAGAAGGUUUUCCACAUUCUUGAUAAAGAUCAAAGUGGCUUCAUUGAGGAAGAUGAGUUGAAAUUUGUACUGAAGGGCUUCACCCCUGAUGGCAGAGACCUAUCUGAUAAAGAAACCAAUGCGCUCCUGGUUGCUGGAGAUAAGGAUGGCGAUGGCAAAAUCGGCAUUGAUGGUCCAUCCCUUGGGUCAAGUUUUCAAACGCCACCCUGAUCAUUAGCUGACUAUGGAGAUCCAGCCUUUUACAGAUGAUGUCAAAAUUGAGGGACCAGAACAACCUCCAAGCCCAGGUCCAUGUUACCCAGGAGGGUGACCAUCCUCCAGACCUCAUCUCCCAGACUGAAGGGGAAUGCUACUGAGGCCACAGUCAGUUUCAGGGCAGGUGAUGUCUGUUGGGUUCACAAAGGAAACUGACUUUGUGACUAAGGAGUACGGCACAGCUAAAGAGACUGGCCAAGCGGGCACCAACGGGCAGUCUGGGUGGAUUGACAUAUCCUGAAUUCCCUCUUUGGCUUCUCAAAAAUGGUUUAGCUUCACUGUGAGGUUUUCUGACCCACAAUCUGACCCUCUGAUUCAUUUUGGUUUAUAAGCCAUUCAAUUAUUGUAAAAGGUUGUUAAUGAAGUUGCCCCUGCUGUCUCGGUGAUGCUGUGAACCUCUAUAACAUGCUUCUUAAUUUAAACAAAUUUUCCCUUCUCCAGAAUUCAUAACUUUGGUGGCUGAAUCAUAAAGCCUUUGACCAAUCUGAACCUUCCAUCUGCCCUUCACCACCUGAUUCCAGCCAACUCCUGCUGACCUCCUUGGCUCCUGUUCUAUUUAUUUUUGUUAUUUUAUACUCCCACUCUGUUCUCUGCAGCCCUGUAACUCUGUAAUUGUGCUGAAAGAUGCUGUUAAAAUAAAGGUCACUGUUUUUGGCUCUA